CUGCGGCAGCGACACUGUGUGUUGUUGGGUAGGGGAGCGUUCUGUAAGCCUGCGAAGGUGGCCUGUGAGGGUUGCUGGAGGUAUCAGAAGUGCGAAUGCUGACAUAAGUAACGAUAAAGCGGGUGAAAAGCCCGCUCGCCGGAAGACCAAGGGUUCCUGUCCAACGUUAAUCGGGGCAGGGUGAGUCGACCCCUAAGGCGAGGCCGAAAGGCGUAGUCGAUGGGAAACGGGUUAAUAUUCCCGUACUUGGUGUUACUGCGAAGGGGGGACGGAGAAGGCUAUGUUGGCCGGGCGACGGUUGUCCCGGUUUAAGCGUGUAGGUGUGUGUUCCAGGUAAAUCCGGUUCACUUUAACACUGAGGCGUGACGACGAGGCACUACGGUGCUGAAGCAACAAAUGCCCUGCUUCCAGGAAAAGCCUCUAAGCAUCAGGUAACAUCAAAUCGUACCCCAAACCGACACAGGUGGUCAGGUAGAGAAUACCAAGGCGCUUGAGAGAACUCGGGUGAAGGAACUAGGCAAAAUGGUGCCGUAACUUCGGGAGAAGGCACGCUGACACGUAGGUGAAGUGAUUUACUCAUGGAGCUGAAGUCAGUCGAAGAUACCAGCUGGCUGCAACUGUUUAUUAAAAACACAGCACUGUGCAAACACGAAAGUGGACGUAUACGGUGUGACGCCUGCCCGGUGCCGGAAGGUUAAUUGAUGGGGUCAGCGCAAGCGAAGCUCCUGAUCGAAGCCCCGGUAAACGGCGGCCGUAACUAUAACGGUCCUAAGGUAGCGAAAUUCCUUGUCGGGUAAGUUCCGACCUGCACGAAUGGCGUAAUGAUGGCCAGGCUGUCUCCACCCGAGACUCAGUGAAAUUGAACUCGCUGUGAAGAUGCAGUGUACCCGCGGCAAGACGGAAAGACCCCGUGAACCUUUACUAUAGCUUGACACUGAACAUUGAGCCUUGAUGUGUAGGAUAGGUGGGAGGCUUUGAAGUGUGGACGCCAGUCUGCAUGGAGCCGACCUUGAAAUACCACCCUUUAAUGUUUGAUGUUCUAACGUGGACCCGUUACCCGGGUUGCGGACAGUGUCUGGUGGGUAGUUUGACUGGGGCGGUCUCCUCCUAAAGAGUAACGGAGGAGCACGAAGGUUGGCUAAUCCUGGUCGGACAUCAGGAGGUUAGUGCAAUGGCAUAAGCCAGCUUGACUGCGAGCGUGACGGCGCGAGCAGGUGCGAAAGCAGGUCAUAGUGAUCCGGUGGUUCUGAAUGGAAGGGCCAUCGCUCAACGGAUAAAAGGUACUCCGGGGAUAACAGGCUGAUACCGCCCAAGAGUUCAUAUCGACGGCGGUGUUUGGCACCUCGAUGUCGGCUCAUCACAUCCUGGGGCUGAAGUAGGUCCCAAGGGUAUGGCUGUUCGCCAUUUAAAGUGGUACGCGAGCUGGGUUUAGAACGUCGUGAGACAGUUCGGUCCCUAUCUGCCGUGGGCGCUGGAGAACUGAGGGGGGCUGCUCCUAGUACGAGAGGACCGGAGUGGACGCAUCACUGGUGUUCGGGUUGUCAUGCCAAUGGCACUGCCCGGUAGCUAAAUGCGGAAGAGAUAAGUGCUGAAAGCAUCUAAGCACGAAACUUGCCCCGAGAUGAGUUCUCCCUGAGACUUAGAGUCUCCUGAAGGAACGUUGAAGACGACGACGUUGAUAGGCCGGGUGUGUAAGCGCAGCGAUGCGUUGAGCUAACCGGUACUAAUGAACCGUGAGGCUUAACCUUACAACGCCGAAG
rnacentral:rRNA from 1 species